UACGUAGGUCCCGAGCGUUGUCCGGAUUUAUUGGGCGUAAAGCGAGCGCAGGUGGUUUAUUAAGUCUGGUGUAAAAGGCAGUGGCUCAACCAUUGUAUGCAUUGGAAACUGGUAGACUUGAGUGCAGGAGAGGAGAGUGAAAUUCCAUGUGUAACGGUGAAAUGCGUAGAUAUAUGGAGGAACACCGGUGGCGAAGGCGGCCUGCUGGACCGCGACUGACGUUGAGGCUCGAAAGCGUGGGGAGCGAACAGG
rnacentral:rRNA from 1 species